AGAGUUUGAUCCUGGCUCAGAUUGAACGCUGGCGGCGUGCUUAACACAUGCAAGUCGUGCGAGAAAGGGGACUUCGGUCCCUGAGUAGAGCGGCGCACGGGUGAGUAACGCGUGGAUUAUCUACCCAGAUAUUCGGGAUAACGGCGGGAAACUGCCGCUAAUACCGGAUACGCUCCAAUUUCGGUUGGGGGAAAGGCGGCCUCUGCUUGCAAGCUGUCGUAUCUGGAUGAGUCCGCGUCCCAUUAGCUUGUUGGUGGGGUAAUGGCCUACCAAGGCGACGAUGGGUAGCUGGUCUGAGAGGAUGAUCAGCCACACUGGAACUGAAACACGGUCCAGACUCCUACGGGAGGCAGCAGUGGGGAAUAUUGCGCAAUGGGGGAAACCCUGACGCAGCGACGCCGUGUGAGGGAAGAAGGCUUUCGGG
rnacentral:rRNA from 1 species